AAUCAACGCUGGCGGCGUGCCUAACACAUGCAAGUCGAACGCGACUUUCCAGCAAUGGAAAGUUGAGUGGCGAACGGGUGAGUAACACGUGGGUGACCUACCUUCGAGUGGGGGAUAACGUCCCGAAAGGGACGCUAAUACCGCAUAACAUCCUGCCUUUGAACAGGCGGAGAUCAAAGCCGGGGAUCGCAAGACCUGGCGCUUGAUGAGGGGCCCGCGGCGGAUUAGCUAGUUGGUAGGGUAACGGCCUACCAAGGCAACGAUCCGUAGCCGGCCUGAGAGGGCGGUCGGCCACACUGACACUGACACACGGGUCAGACUCCUACGGGAGGCAGCAGUCGGGAAUUUUGGGCAAUGGGCGAAAGCCUGACCCAGCAACGCCGCGUGAAGGAUGAAGUUUUUCGGAAUGUAAACUUCACAAGAAUGGGAAGAAUAAGUCGGGGUUAACACCCCCGAUGAUGACGGUACCAUUUGUAAGCUCCGGCUAACUCCGUGCCAGCAGCCGCGGUAAUACGGGGGGAGCAAGCGUUGUUCGGAUUUACUGGGCGUAAAGGGCGCGUAGGCGGCGCAACAAGUCACUUGUGAAAUCUCCGGGCUUAACCCGGAGCGGUCAAGUGAUACUGUCGUGCUAGAGUGCGGAAGGGGCAACUGGAAUUCUCGGUGUAGCGGUGAAAUGCGUAGAUAUCGAGAGGAACACCUGCGGCGAAGGCGGGUUGCUGGGCCGACACUGACGCUGAGGCGCGAAAGCCAGGGGAGCGAACGGGAUUAGAUACCCCGGUAGUCCUAGCCCUAAACGAUGAAUACUUGGUGUCUGGAGUUUUAAUUCUCCGGGUGCCGUCGCUAACGUUUUUAGUAUUCCGCCUGGGGAGUACGCACGCAAGUGUGAAACUCAAAGGAAUUGACGGGGACCCGCACAAGCGGUGGAGCAUGUGGUUUAAUUCGACGCAACGCGAAGAACCUUACCUGAACUAGAAUGCGAGGGAAGAUUACCUAAUAGUAAUCGUCGGGCAACCGACCCAAAGCAAGGUGCUGCAUGGCUGUCGUCAGCUCGUGUCGUGAGACGUUGGGUUAAGUCCCGCAACGAGCGCAACCCCUAUUAACAGUUGCUAACAAGUAAAGUUGAGAACUCUGUUAAGACUGCCGUUGAUAAAACGGAGGAAGGUGGGGAUGAUGUCAAGUCAUCAUGGCCUUUAUGUCCAGGGCUACACACGUGCUACAAUGGACGGUACAAAACGUCGCAAUCUCGCAAGAGUGAGCUAAUCGCCGAAAACCGUUCUCAGUUCGGAUUGAAGUCUGCAACUCGACUUCAUGAAGUUGGAAUCGCUAGUAAUCGCAGAUCAGAAUGCUGCGGUGAAUACGUUCCCGGGUCUUGUACACACCGCCCGUCACAUCACGAAAGUAGGUUGUACUAGAAGUAGCUGGGCUAACCCGCAAGGGAGGCAGGUUACUACGGUAUGAUUUAUGAUUGGGGUG
rnacentral:rRNA from 1 species